rnacentral:rRNA from 1 species
AUUUAAAAUGAGUUUAAAUUUAUUAGUUAAGUUAUUAAUAUUAAUAAAGUUGUAGAAAUUUUAAUGUUUUAGUAAUAUUUAGAAAGAAUUUUUUAUUAAUAGUUAAAUUGUAAAAGAAUAAUUAAAAUAAUAAAAAGAAAGUUUAAUUUACUGUACCUUUUGUAUCAGGGAUUAUUAAAAUUGAAUAUAAGAAUUUAUAAAUCUCGAAUUAUAAAGAGUUAAUUUAAAAUUAUAGUUAAUGUGGAAAAAUUAUUAUAAAUUUUAAAUUAGAAAUGAAAUGUUAAACGAUUUUUAAGAUAUCUAGUUUUUUAAUAUAAAAAUUUAAUUUUUUUAUAGUUUAAAAUUACUGAUAAAUUUAAAUUGGUAAUUAAAUUAUAAGAAAUAAUUUAUGGGAUAAUCUAUAAAUUUAAAUUAAAUAAAUUUAAAGUUAGUAAAAAAUUUAGAAAUUAAAAUUUUUAAAGUUAUUAAAUUUUUAAUAAUUUAUUUUUUAGUUGAUUAUAAUUUUAGAAUUUAUUAAUUAAGUAUUAAAAUAGAAAUUUUUAAUUAAUUAAGAAUUAAAAUAAUGAUAAUAUUAGUAUAAUUUUAUGUUAAGUUAAUUUUAUUAAAAAAUUAAUUUAAGGAAUUAGGCAAAAAUUUAAAAUUCACUUGUUUAUCAAAAACAUGUUUUUUUGAAAUUAAUAAAAAAUUUUCUCUGCCCAAUGAAAAUUUAAAUGGCCGCAGUAUUUUGACUGUGCAAAGGUAGCAUAAUAAAUAGUUUUUUAAAUGGAGACUAGAAUGAAUGAGAGGAUGAAAUUUUAACUGUCUCAAAUUAAAAAUAUAAAUUUAUUUUAAGUUAAAAUUCUUAAAUAAAUUUAAGGGACGAGAAGACCCUAUAGAAUUUAAAAAUUUAAAUUAAUUUAAUAUAUAAAAUUAAAUUUAAUUAGUAAAAAAUUUUUUUAUUGGGAUGAUUUUAAAAUUUAAUUAACUUUUAAUUAUAAAAUUCAAUAAUAAAUGAAUUAAUAAGAUUAUAUUUUUAAUAAGAAAAAAUUACCUUAGGGAUAACAGCGUAAUAAAUUUUUAAAGUUCAAAUUAAAAAAUUUGAUUGCGACCUCGAUGUUGAAUUAAAAUAAAAUUUAAGUGUAGAAGC